rnacentral:lncRNA from 1 species
AAACAUUACCUUCUUCAUCUCUAAACAAUCAAAUUCCAUCUAAUAAUCUCUUUCUAUUCUCUUGAUCUUCUUGUUCUUCUUUAAGAAAUUUCUACUUUCUUUCUAUUGUCACACCAUAUACAUAUUUAUAUACUUUAUAUUUUCUUUCUUUAAUUAGCUUCUCAUAUAUACUUCAAAUUUUUCUUCAACUUUGUUCUACCUUUUUAUAGCUUUCUCUAGAUUCUCCUCACCUCAAUCAAUAAAAAAAAUAGUAUAUAUAUUCUUGAGCAAUACUCUUUUUCUUUCCUCACAUAUAGGGAAUAUAUUCUUCAAUCACUAAUUUCAAUCUUUG